rnacentral:rRNA from 1 species
AUUGAACGCUGGCGGCGUGCCUAACACAUGCAAGUCGAAGGAAGUGGCGCACGGGUGAGUAAUAUAUGGCUAAUUUGCCCCUUGCUGGAGGACACCAGUUAGAAAUGACUGCUAAUACUCCAUAGCAAGGGAUGAGACUAUAUCGGAUCAGCUAGUCGGUGGGGUAACGGCCUACCGAGGCGACGACGCGUAACUGGUCUGAGAGGAUGAGCAGUCACAUUCGAACUGAGGCACGGGCCGAACACAUACGGCAGUCAGCAGGAGGCAAUAGCGCGCAAUGGGGGAGACUCAGACGCAGCAUCGCGGCGUAGAGGACGACAAGCUUCGAAGCGUGAACUAAUUUUGAUAGGGAAACGUUACCCAACGAAGAAGCACCGGCUAACUCCGUGCCAGCAGCCGCGGUAAUAC